rnacentral:misc_RNA from 1 species
GAACAUUUACAUACCAUACCGUGAAUCAUUCAAAACACAAAUUAUUUUGAAACCAUUAUCAUGGAGUGCUGAGAGACUUUUUAGUAUCUUUUUUAAAUGGUGUAUUUUAUUAUGAGUGAUAGUGUACAAAUGUACGUACUGUUCUUGGAGAGUAUGCAUGAAUACAUGUGAUUGUAAAACGUGCUCUGAAUGUGACUAUGCUAUACAUAGCUAUCAGACUUUACAUAUCUUGAAUAAAAUAAGAUUUGUAACUGUUUUUAUUCUAAUCAUUGAACGUUUUACUGUUUAUUCCAGUAAUAUUUGCUUUUACGUUUUGUAAAUGAGGGUUGUUAAAGAUAUAUCGUUUUGGGAAAUUAAUAAUAGUAAAUCCUUCAUUAUCCAUUCCUAUUAUCAUGAAUGUUCUAUUUUGUUGCUUUAAUUCGUGUGUGCGGUGUAUGUGUGUUCGAGGGAACAUAAAUGUUAGCGAGAUUUGAUACUUUGAUAUGUACAUUUUCUAUCGUCAUUUAAUUUUCUAAUAAAAAAUGUACCAUAGU